CUUGAUAGCUUUUUUUUUCAUUAUUGCAAAUUCUCAGCUAGAACAACAUGGCGUAUCUGCGCAAAUUUUCUAUUGUGUUUUGUUUAUUAUUAAUCUCUAUAAUAUCUGGAACUGAAUCAAGCAAAGAUACCAAAAUUGCCUUUCCAAUUUUCAACGUCACCAGAUUGUGCUCCGAUCGGUUAUAUUUCGCAAGAAGUAGGAAGAUAAUAUGCUUAUUAUGCAAAGGAUUCGAUCCAUCGUGCCUACAAUAUUCAACCUCAAGUACAACUUCAAGUACCACCACUCCAACUACUACAACCAAUACAACGACAUCAGCAACUACUCCCAAAAUAAGUACAACAACUACUGAAGCUACAACUGCUGCAGAGUGAUGUCAUCAUUCUACUGUUGUUGCUUUAUAUUCGAGUAAAAUUAAAUUAUCCUGACAUUGGUAUUCCUGUCUUAA